GGCGAUCAGAUACCGCCCUAGUUCUAACCGUAAACGAUGACAACCAGCGAUUAAUCGGCGUUAAUAUACGACCCGAUUAGCAGCUUCCGGGAAACCAAAGUUUUUCGUUUCCGGGGGAAGUAUGGUUGCAAAGCUGAAACUUAAAGGAAUUGACGGAAGGGCACCACCAGGAGUGGAGCCUGCGGCUUAAUUUGACUCAACACGGGAAAACUCACCCGGCCCGGACACUGUAAGGAUUGACAGACUGAGAGCUCUUUCUUAAUUCAGUGGGUGGUGGUGCAUGGCCGUUCUUAGUUGGUGGAGCGAUUUGUCUGGUUAAUUCCGAUAACGAACGAGACUCUGGCCUAUUAAAUAGACGAGGUAUUUAAAUGUAUCUCGCGCUUCUUAGAGGGACAAGCGGCGUCUAGUCGCAUGAAAAAGAGCAAUAACAGGUCUGUGAUGCCCUUAGAUGUCCGGGGCUGCACGCGCGCUACACUGAAAGAAUCAGCGUGCAUUUAAACCUAGUCCGGAAGGACCGGGUAACCCAAGUAAAUUCUUUCGUGCUUGGGAUAGGGAAUUGCAAUUAUUUCCCUUAAACGAGGAAUUCCCAGUAAAUGCGGGUCAUAAGCUCGCGUUGAUUACGUCCCUGCCCUUUGUA
rnacentral:rRNA from 2 species